rnacentral:lncRNA from 1 species
GAAAAGGUGUCCUCUCUCACAUAUAUGAGGUUAAUUAUUUUACAAGAACUUGUCAAGAUAGAAAAAGGUACAAAUGCAAGGAAAACAAAUCCACAGGAAACAUACAAAAAUGAAAAAAUGGCUAACAACAAGGAACAUGCAACACUGCGUGUCAAUUUGGCUGAAGAUCUAGCAAAAUAUACCUCCUAAAAAGAAGACUAACAAAACAGUACAAGGAAGCAAGCUGAACUGCUCAAUUUAUAUUAGAGUACAGCCCAAUGUUAUCAUAAAGGAGGCCCAAAAGAUAAAGGUCCACGCAAGAGACAGAUAACGCGUGGUGGCUACACUUCGAAAUGGACGCUCGAAGAAGAAACGCGAAGCUGCUCCAUGUGAGAGAGGAAGAUCACAGGAUCUCUAGGGCAGCGUUCCAGUACGGGGGUUGCGAGAAGAAUGAAGAAAUUGGAUCGGUGGAAAGGCAGCGUCAGAAGGUAAGAGAAACGAAAUUUUAUUAUUACUAUGUGUAAAAUGUUUCUGAUUACAUUUGAAAAGAGAAAAACCUAACCUUUAAACAGGUUAGGAAAAAGAGGGGGAAAGGGAUUAACCAAACUAACAAACAAGUAGUAAUCUUGACAGAUCUAACUAACUAACAAACAUCGAUAACUUUCUCUUAAGCUGAAUUGUUUAUGUUUACCAAUCCAAGUUUAGGAAUGAUGAAAUGGAAGCGCACGGGAUGAGGAAGCUUCGUGAAGAUGUCAGCGAGCUGAUCGUUGGAGCGGAUGGGGAGGAGAUGAAGAAGGUUGGCUUGAAUCUUUUCGCGGACAAUGUGACAAUCGAGUUCAAUAUGCUUAUUUCGUGAAAGCGCUGAUUGUGAGCAAUAUGUAUGGUAGAUUUAUUGUCACAAUAGAGCGCAACAGUGGUAGUGGUCUCAACAUUGAGAUCUUGUAGGAGAUAAUUAAUCCAUUGUAUUUCGCAUACGGUAGCAGCCAAGGCUCGAUAUUCAGCUUUGGUAGAAGACCUGGAAACAAUACUUUGUUUCUUAGUUUUCCACGAUAUAAGUGAGGGUCCAAGGAAGAUGCAAAAUCCAGUGGUUGAUCUUCUAGUAUUAGGACAAGUAGUCCAGUCUGAGUCACUAAAGGCCUUUAUUUGGAUAUGAGAAUUAACAGCAAAGAAAAGGCCUUGUGAGGGGUUGGAUUUAAUAUAUCUGAGCAUGUGUUGUAAAGCCCGAUAAUGAUAAUCAGUAGGGGAUUGAACAAAUUGACUAAGAAGGUUAACAAAAAAACAUAGAUCAGGUCUAGUAUUAGUGAGAUAAAGUAACUUCCCUAUUAAUCUGCAAUAGGAGUUAGGAUUGGCCAUGUAAUUUUCUGUUUUAUAUCAGGAACUGGUGUCACUUAUAAAGGGGGUAGUGCAGGGCUUGCAUCCUAGCAUUCGUGUCUCUUCAAGAAUGUCCAGAGCAUAUUUUCUCUGACAUAGGUGUAUCCCUUUCUUAGAUCUGGCAACUUCAAAGCCGAGGAAGUAUUUCAGCUCUCCUAGGUUUUUUAUUCGAAAAGCUUGAUGAAGAAGAGCUUUUAUGUGGUUUAUUUCUGUGAUAGAAUCUCCUAUCAAAAUAAUAUCAUCUACAUACACAAGGAGAACUGUGAAAUUUGUGGAUGUCUUCUUAGUAAAAAGGGAAUGGUCAGAUUUAGAUUGAAUAUAAUUAACAGAGAGUAGGAAAGAGGACAAUUUAUCAAACCAUUGUCUACUAGCCUGUUUCAGCCCAUAUAGAGAUUUAGUUAACCUACAAACCUGUUCUUUGGUAUGAAUGUUCAGCCCUGGUGGUGGUUCCAUAUAAACUUCUUCAUUUAGGUCCCCAUGUAGAAAGGCGUUAUCUACAUCCAGUUGAUGUAGAUGCCAAUUUUUUGAGGCAGCAAUAGCAAGAAGAAUUCUGGCAGUAGUGAGUUUAGCAACAGGAGAAAAAGUGUCCAAAAAAUCUAUACCUUCUUCCUGGUUAUAUCCCUUAGCUACCAAGCGAGCUUUAUACCUUUCUAUGGUGCCAUCAGCCUUAUGCUUAAUUUUGUACACCCAUCUGCAACCAAUUGCAUUUUUUCCAGGAGGGAGUUUAGUUAAGUGCCAAGUGCCAUUGUCUUGUAAUGCUUUUAGUUCUUUCUGCAUGGCUGUAACCCAUUCAUGGUUGUCUUUUGCCUCAUUAUAGGAUUUAGGCUCACUAUUGGUAGAUAUGGCCAAAGUGUAAUUUAGGUGCCUUUUCGACAAGGAGUUAUAAGAUAGAACAUUGGAAAUUUGAUAAGGAGUUUUGUAAUUAUUUCUUGCAUCUAGAAAAUUGGUUGAAGAAUGAUUGACCUGAUGUAUGUAAUCAUUUAGAUACCCGGAGACCCUUUUAAUUCUAGUGGAUUUUCUCGAACUGUGAUCUUCUCCAUCAUCAGUAUGAUUAGAGCUAGUGUUGGUGAUGUCUUCACUAUGAUCUGUUCUUUAUUCUUGAUCUCCAUUUUCAUCUCCAUUGUUAGUUCUGUUAUUUUUAGCUCUGUCAACUCUGUCGCAGUUAUUUUCAGCUCUGUCACAGUUUUGCCCAUUCAAAAGAUCAUUAGGCUAGAUACUUUCAAUCUCUUUGUCAGCAUAGUUGGCCUCAUUAUUCUGUUGAUCUUUGUAAGGGAAAAUGUUUUCAUAAAAGAUGACAUUUCUACUUAGAAAUAUUUCUCUAGUACUAACAUCAAGUAUAAUAUAUCCUUUUACACCAUUUUUAUAACCUAAGAAUACACCUUUUCUAGCUCUAGAAUCAAGUUUAUGUCUAUUGUGCUCUAAAAUGGAAGCAAAACACAGGCAUUCAAAGGUUUUUAAGUUCAAAUAGGUGGGAGGAUUGUCAUAUAUCAAAUCAAAAGGAGUCUUACCAUUCAGAACAGAUGUGGGUAAUCUAUUUAUCAAUAAAUGGCAUGAGAUACAACAUAAGACCAGUAGGCAGUAGGUAUACUGGAUUGAAAAAGAAGGCUGCGAGUUUUAUCUAAUAUAUGUUGGUGUUUUCGUUCAACAAUAGAGUUUUGUAGGGGGGUCUCUACACAACUUUUCUGGUGCUCAAUACCAUGAGAAUCAUACAUAGCAACACAAUUAAAUUCAGGAUCAUUAUCAGAUCUAACAGUCUUAAUAGUUUUCCCAAACUGAUUUUUAAUUUUUAAAAUAAAAUUCUGCAAAAGAUCUCUAGUUUGACCUUUAUUGUGCAUCAAAAAGGCCCAAGUGUGUCUACUGUAAUAAUCAACUAUGGUAAGAAAGUAUUUAUGCCCAUGUAUAGAAGGUAUAGAGAUAGAGCCCCAUAUAUCACAAUGUAUCAAUUCAAAACAAUUAGUAGAAACAGUGGUGCUUCGAGAAAAAGGAAGUUUAUGUUGUUUGGCAUAAUGACAAAUAUCACAAACAAUUUUAGAUGACAUUUGAACAUAAGGAAAAUUUUUACAUUUUUUCUAUGAUUUUGUGGCCAGGGUGACCCAGUCUAUAAUGCCACAAAUCAUCAUUAACAUGUUUACAAGAAAGAACAGAUUUAGGAACAUAGUCCUGACUAAAAAUAGGAAAAAAUUUAAGAUAGUACAGUCCUUUGUAAACAUUAGCAUGCCCAAUAAUCUUCAAGGUAGAACUGUCCUGUAUCUGUCAAGUCUUAAAGGAAAAGGUUAUAAUGCAAUUUAGGUCCCUAGUUAGACUUUGAACAGAUAUAAGAUUAAAAGAAAAUUUUGGAAUAUAAAGAACAUUAAAAAUUAUGAAAUUAGUUGAAAAUUAGACAGUUCCAGCAUGCUGGGCUGUAACUAUGGAGUUAUUAGGAAGCUUGACAAAUAUGGGUUUGAUUUUAUGAAAAGUAAUAAAAUGUUUUCUUUCAUGGUUCACAUGAUCAGUGGCCCCAGUAUCUAUAAUCCAAGAAAAAUCAUCUGGGCUGUCUCUAGAAGUGUUUCUUUGCACUUGGCUAAUAGUGUGUGAGGGGUUAUCAGUGCCCUCUAUCAUCUUUAGUAGAUUCUGCAUCUGUUCAGGGGUAAAUAUUUGCAUAAAAUUAUUGUUGUUAUUAUCUUGUGGAGAAUUCUGUGUUUGGAUAGAAGUAGAAUCAUCCUUGCAGACAUUAGCAUAGCUCCAUUCGUUUUGUCCUCCCUAGUCUCGACUGUUGUAGUUGUCAUUUUUCUUGUACCAUGGUGGGUAGCCAUUUUUGGAAUAACACUCAUCAACCGUGUGAUUCAUCUUAUGGCAAUGGGAACAUUGUUUGCCAUAAUUGGGAUUUCUCCCUCUUCCUCUUCCUUGUCCACGUGAGCUAGUGCCACGCCCUUGAGGCUUCUAGUUAGAUUUGUCAGUGGUGCUGGCUAAGAUCUUGAAAGUGUCAUUCUGAUUGAUAGCUCUAGGAUGCUGUUUUUCUUGUCUUUCUUGCUGAAUAAGAAGAGAAAAAACCCUGUUGAUGUUGGGAAGAGAUUCCAUUAAAAGAAUUUGUGUCCAAACAAUAUGGUAGGUAUCAUUUAAGCCUUUUAGGAAGCAAAUAACGUGUUCCACCUCUCUGUAUUUUAGAGAAACUCUAGACAAAUCACAAGUACAUGGGGUUUUGCAGGUGCAGUAGGGUAUGGGUCUUAAAGACUCUAAUUCUUCCCAAAGGAUCUUCAAGUCAGUGAAAUAUUGGCUGAUAUUUCUUUCUCCCUGUUUGAUGGAGUGAAUAUCUUGUAGCAAAUCUGAAAUUUUGAAGUAGUCUCCUUAGAGAACCUUUCUUUAAGUUCUUCCCACAAAUCUUUGGCAUUAUCUGUUGAGAUUGUUGACACCACAAACUCUAUAUCAAACUAGUUUUUGAUGAUGACAACACAAUGCUUAAUAAUAGUACACAUGUUGCAGUAUUACAUGUUCUUAUUUUGAAUUAAUUUUCAUAUCUGCUGAACAUGUUUUGAUGUACUGUGAUGUAUGUUCCUAUGAUUGAUUGUGUGAUAUAUUUGUGGAACAUGCUUGUAUGGAAAUGUGCAAUAUGAACUGAUUGAUCAAAAACAUUUUAUUUCACAUUUCUGGAAGUGAAAGAUCACAAGCACCUUUAUGAACUUAUAAUUUUGUGACAAAGUUCUAGUUCAGUCGAAUACACCUAUAAUGGAUUCGACUAUUCUAAAACCUUUGUACAGAUUUUGAGAAUCAGUGUUGUGUGAUGUUUUGAGUUGAAAAGAAUUUCAAAGUGUUUUUACAUGUGUCAAUCGACAUUGUAUAAUGCGUAUUCGACUAUGUUAUUGAUCUGUUUGAAAUUCUGUUAUGCUUACAUGCUCCAACGACUAUAUUUUUGAAAGUUAGUUAAGCAUUGAUGACUUGGUCAACUGUAAUGAAUGUGUGUUGAUUUUUGUUGACUGAGAGCCUAUAUGUUGACUGUCUGUUAUAACUAUUUUAAUACAGUCUACUGAAUUGGUAGGCUAUUCGAUUGAGAAGACUUUUGAUGAUUUGACAUUUUCAUUUCUUGUUUCAGAUUGAAUUCUCUGUUUUAACAACUCCAAGAAUUCUCCAAGAAGACGAUGGUGAUCUAUCUUGAGAGAGAUUGAAAGGGAGAAGGCAAUUGCGCUGACUGCUUGAUCAUUAUCUGCACGAAGAAGGUGCUUCUUGAUUGAUCAUCGAAGGCUUGGCAUCCUGUGAAGACUGCUGUGUUGAUUGAAGGCUUGGCAACCUGUGAAGUCUGCUAUGUUAGGCUUGACAUCCUGUGAAGAGUGUUGGUUACACGUUGAGAAUUGUUCGACGUGGGUUCAGAUUGCAGAAGAGGGGAUUCUUGCUACAAUUCUAGUUUUGGUUAUUGCAACUAUAUUUUGGUUUUGGGUUAGAGAGGAGAUUUAUAUUUUUGCGUGAGGCUUUUGAGGAUAAAUAUAAAUCUCCUAUCUAACCCAAAACCAAAAUAUAGUUGCAAUAACCAAAACCAGACUUGCAGCAAGAAUCCCUUCUUCUGCAAUCUGAACCUACGUCGAACAAUCCUCAACGUGUAAAUUCCAGCACUCUUCACAGGAUGCCAAGCCUCAACAUAGCAGUCUUCACAAGAUGCCAAGCCUUCACAGAAUGUAGCAGACUUCAUAGGAUGCCAAGCCUUCAAUGAUCAAUCAAGAAGCACCUUCUUUGUGCAGUUUCUGAUCACACAGUGAGCGUGCAAACUCUCUCCCUUUGAAUCUCUCUCAAGAAAGAUCUCCAUUGUCUUCUUGGAGAAUUCUUCGAGCUGUUAACAGAGAAUUCAAUCUGAAACAAGAAAUGAAAAUGUUAGAGCGUCAAAAGUCUCUAAACAACUCGUGUUCAACGUAUUUAUAGUUUUCUGUCAGUCAGAUUGUUUCUUAGUCGAAUAGCCUACUAAUUCAAUCGACUGUAUUAUUACAGUUAUAACAGACAGUCAACAUCGAGGCUCUCAGUCAACAAAAAAUCAACACACAUUUAAUACAGUUGACCAAGUCAUCAAUGCUUAACUAACUUUUAAAAAUAUAGCCAUUGGAGCGCACAAGCAUAACAGAAUUCCAAAACAAAUCAAAGAUACAGUCGAAUGUACACUGGACAAAGUCGACUGACACAUGUAAAAACACUUUGAAAUUCUUUUCAGCUCAAAACAUCACUUAUCACUGAUUCUCAAAAUCUAUACAAAGGUUUUAGAAUAGUCGAAUCCAUUACUAAUGUAUUCCACUGUACUAUAACUUUGUCACACAGUUAUAAGUUCAUAAAAGUGCUUGUGAUUUUUCACUUUACAAAAUGUGCCGUAAAAUAUUUUUGAUAAAGCAGUUUGUAUUGCACAUAAGCAUGUAAGCAUGUUCCACAGAUAUAUAUUAAACACUCAACAUAGGAACAUACACCAUAGUACAUCAAAACAUGUUCAACAUCUAUAACAAUCAGUGCAGCAUAAGAACAUGUAAUGUAGUAACACAUGUACUGUUAUUAAGCAAAGUGUUGUCAUCAUCAAAAGCUAGAUUGAUAUAGAGUUUGUGUUGUCAACAAUCUCAACAGCCAUCAAUGAACUUAAGCUUGUUUUUGGAGAGAAUGGCUCUUUUCAAAUUUCUGGUCCAAGAUGAAUAGUUGGUUUCAUUUAGAAUAUGGGAAAUGAGAGUGAAACCUGGAUUUUCUCCAAGAUGAAGAUAAAACGCGCUAGAGGGGUUAGUGGUGGGAUCUUGUUUUUCCAUCAGGCUAAGAACAAUUCAAGAAAGGUGCUGCUCUGAUAUCAUAUUAGAGUACAACCUAAUGUUAUUAUAAAGGAGGCCUAAAAGAUAAAGGCCCACGCAAGAGACAGAUAACGCGUGGUGGCUACACUUCGAAAUAGACGCUCAAAGAAGAAACGCGAAGCUGCUCCAUGUGAGAGAGGAAGAUCACGAGAUCUCUAGGGUAGCAUUCCAGUAUGGGGGUUGAGAUAAGAAUGAAGAAAUUGGAUCGGUGGAAAGGCACCGUCAGAAGGUAAGAGAAACAAAACUUUUAUUAUUACUGUGUGUAGAUUGUUUCUGAUUACAUUUGAAAAGAGAAAAACCUAACCUUUAAAUAUGUUAGGAAAAAGAGGGAAAGGGGAUUAACCAAACUAACAAACAGAUUACUACUUCUAAGUAGUAAUCUUAACAGAUCUAACUAACUAACAAACAUCAAUAAUCUAAAUGAACCUAAGAGGAAACCAAUGACCAAUAACGAUUGGAGCUUUUCAUUCCACAUUUCCACAAAGAUACACUAAAUAACCACCAAUUGAGAUUAUCAGUAAUGCCUUUUAGCCUGCCAAAUCCUCUAAAUUUUUCACACAGGAACUGUUGUGUAUCCUUGAAGAAAACGAAUUGCCAAAUUGAUGAGUCAAUAUUUUCUCGACUUUACUUAGUUUAUUGUGCUAGAAUUAAUCAGGGAAUUGUGCUUAAUUGUCCGGUAUUUUCCCGUUUUUCCUAAUUAUGCUUAAUUUGAUCGGAAAUUCUUAUUUUAAUUAAUUUGAAUUUUCUAAGCUAAUUAAUUGCAUUUUUAAUUGCAGGGAAAAUUUUGGAGAUAUAUUUUGGAGCAUUGGGAGGAGACCAAAUAAUUCAAGACUCUCUUAAAAUUAGUUAUAUUUUAAUUUAGUAGUUUAGAAUUAAUCAAAUUGUAAUUUAGUGGUUAAGAAUUUUUAGACCAAGUUUUGUAAUUUUGGACCAAUUUUUGGUAGUGUAGACUAAGCCCAAUUGUAGAGUAGGAUGACUUGGCACCUAGGGUUUCCUUUUAUUUUAGGGUGGACCCCACCCUAAUUUUUGAAGACACAUGACCUUGGAAAGAGAAGCCAGCCGUCACUCAUUAAAGGGGGAGAAAUUCAUUCUUGGCGAGGGAUUUUUUUGGCUGCAGCAACAACAUGAAUAUUCUNGGCAAGAUGGAUUGAAGUGGAUCUCUCGACAAUUUUAUUUAAGCAGCUGCAACAACGUUUUUGAAGAGCUGCCAUCCCACUUAGACGUUACCUUUCAUUGCCAUUCAAGAGAAAUAUAGAGAGUGCACAUGGCUGCAAUNUAGAGCUCCAACAGGGUUUUCAGUUUUUUUUUUUUGUUUUUAUUUCUUUACGCAUGAACCUAAUUUUAUAGCUUAUAUAUUAGAAUGAAUUUAUGUUCAAGCAGCUGCCUUAUUUUAU